GUGGGGAAUAUUGCACAAUGGGGGAAACCCUGAUGCAGCGACGCAGCGUGCGGGAUGACGGCCUUCGGGUUGUAAACCGCUUUCAGCAGGGAAGAAGCGCAAGUGACGGUACCUGCAGAAGAAGUACCGGCUAACUACGUGCCAGCAGCCGCGGUAAUACGUAGGGUACGAGCGUUGUCCGGAAUUAUUGGGCGUAAAGAGCUCGUAGGUGGUUGGUCACGUCUGCUGUGGAAACGCAACGCUUAACGUUGCGCGUGCAGUGGGUACGGGCUGACUAGAGUGCAGUAGGGGAGUCUGGAAUUCCUGGUGUAGCGGUGAAAUGCGCAGAUAUCAGGAGGAACACCGGUGGCGAAGGCGGGACUCUGGGCUGUAACUGACACUGAGGAGCGAAAGCAUGGGGAGCGAACAGGAUUAGAAACCCUAGUAGUCC
rnacentral:rRNA from 1 species